UGGGGAAUAUUGCACAAUGGGCGCAAGCCUGAUGCAGCCAUGCCGCGUGUGUGAAGAAGGCCUUCGGGUUGUAAAGCACUUUCAGCGGGGAGGAAGGGAGUAAAGUUAAUACCUUUGCUCAUUGACGUUACCCGCAGAAGAAGCACCGGCUAACUCCGUGCCAGCAGCCGCGGUAAUACGGAGGGUGCAAGCGUUAAUCGGAAUUACUGGGCGUAAAGCGAGCGCAGGCGGUUUCUUAAGUCUGAUGUGAAAGCCCCCGGCUCAACCGGGGAGGGUCAUUGGAAACUGGGAGACUUGAGUGCAGAAGAGGAGAGUGGAAUUCCAUGUGUAGCGGUGAAAUGCGUAGAUAUAUGGAGGAACACCAGUGGCGAAGGCGGCUCUCUGGACGAAGACUGACGCUCAGGUGCGAAAGCGUGGGGAGCAAACAGG
rnacentral:rRNA from 1 species